CGCUCUUUGCAUUCAUUAAUAUCCCUUUUAUGCUGCAAGAAAUGAACUUCCUUUCUUAACGCUACAGACAGGAAAACAAAAUGAGAUUUUUCUUUUCUUUUAAUCUCAACGCUGUGAAAUUGGACUUAUUUCUUCCAUUUAAAAAUAUAGAGAAAAUGAAGCAUUGACAGCACACGUUCCAAACUAACAGUUGAUCCCUGCAAAUGCACAUCGACAGUUAGUGAAAUUUUGGCAAUUAAAGGAAAUGGGAACUCCCUGCUACUUAACAUCGCUCCUCAAAAGUGAAGUGUAAUUUGCACCAUCACUUCUUUAUAGCACCAGUGAUGCUUCCUUCGUUAUUGCACCGCGGCGGCAUUUGUGACAAAUGAUAAAAGCAUCAGCUUCCCAGUAAAUUUUUACAAGACCCAAAGAGUGCAAACGUGCCCCAAGAAGUGAGAAGGGGAUGAGGAGAGAAGCCAAGCCGUCAGCCCUGCAUCUGACUGUUGGAUUGGGAUUCAGGGCAGGAGUUAGGAUGCUUCACAUCCCAACAGCUGCACUCUGUCUUCAGGAUCUGAGAAACUGGACAAGACAACUGAAAAAGAAUCCAGUUGUUUAAGCUUCGGCUAGGAUUGUGUUUAUAUUUGUUUUGCUUGUAACCUUUCGUUUCCAGCCCUGCAACUAAAAGCCUGACCUUGCCUUGCUUAAUAAACCUCGUGCAGAAGCUUUA